CAAAAAUAAACCUGCAUGAGAGGGAAAGAGAGAGAGAGCGAGAGGGAGGGAGGAGGAAGAUAAGAGCCAUUACAACAGAAGAGUUGGGGAAACAGUAUGCGUUUCAAUUCAUUAAGAACUGCGCAAUUUCUUAGUAUCCAUCGCCGCUUUGGUCCCGGUGUCCUAAAAUAUAUUGAUAUCUAAAGGCUUGUUUGGAUUGAACAUGCGUGUGGAAAACCCGCCCGCGGUGCACGCAUAGCCUAUACCGGCGGUUGUAGCAGCUACGUACUUGGCUUGGGGAUUUUGAAACGGAAUGUUCAAUUCUUCUGCGAGAGGGCUGUACAUUCAUUUUGGAAGACGAUAUGCAAGAUUAGAGAUUACUGUACAGCUUUGAAAUUGUGCAACAACACGAGACUAAUCGUUGUGCCAUGCCCAUGGCUGAUUCUCUAAAUGCUCUCAUCUCUCCCAAGCAACGAUUUCAUGUGUCUGCGUGUACAGUUUCUGCAAGACGACAUUUUCUAAAUGGAGUAAGGAUUUUUGACACAUUAUUCAGCUAUUACUUAAUUUGGGGAACGGUUUUGGGAGGCUACGUGGCUGAACGAACGUCAUUCGUGUGGAAAGAAGAUGUGUUACGAUGUUUUUUUUUCGGUUAGUGUGCAGCAACGGCACCUCCCAUGAGAAAGCAGCAUGCACAAACAGCGGAACAAGGCCUAACAUGAUGCCACGGCCUCGGUGUGCUGUUGGCAUGGGCCAGCCUGGCAUCACCUGAACAAUCAUUAAAGAUGUUAACAUCACGGUCAAGGGCUUUGCAGCCACAGCGAAGAGCCAAUCAUAAUGAAGUGUGGGAAUGCGGGGCCGUCUGGUUGGAGCACGCAGUUGGCCGGGUUGAGGGCUCGCCUUCUGACUGAGUUAAGUGAGAGAACGACAGACAGACGUUUGCUGUCCAUCCUUCACUGGUCGGUGGUAACUGGUGAGUCUAGCAUAUGAGUGAGGGAGAGGAGAGAGGGGGAAAAGAGCAGAAUUAACAACCGCAGUAGCACCUAUGGUUGUUUGGCCAAAGUAAACUGGCACGUGUGAUAUUUUGUUAAACGUUGUAACUGGGAAUAUGUAUUUGUGUUAAAAGCAGGGAUGCCAACAUUCAUUUAUACUUUGGACUAUAAUGCGUGUUGGAGUGCAGCUCUGUAGUGAGAUUCUCUGCUCUGAAAGCUCUAGGUAUCUCAAGGCUGCUGAUUCUAUUCUAGCUAUUUCUACAGGUAUAUAUGCUGUGCUAUCUAUUUUUACAGGUAUAUAUUCUGUGCCAUCUACUUCUACAGGUGUAUAUUCAAAGCUAUCUAUUUCUACAGGUAUAUAUUCUGUCCUAUCUAUUUCUACAGGUAUAUAUUCUGUGCUAUCUAUUUCAACAGGUAUAUAUUCUGUGCUAUAUAUUUCUACAGGUAUAUAUUAGGUGCUAUCUAUUUCUACAGGUAUAUAUUCUGUGCUAUAUAUUUCUACAGGUAUGUAUUAGGUGCUAUCUAUUUCUACAGGUAUAUAUUCUGUGCUAUAUAUUUCUACAGGUAUUUAUUCGGUGCUAUCUAUUUCUACAGGUAUAUAUUCGGUGCUAUCUAUUUCUACAGGUAUAUAUUCUGUGCUAUCUAUUUCUACAGGUAUAUAUUCUGUGCUAUCUAUUUCUACAGGUAUAUAUUAGGUGCUAUGUAUUUCUACAGGUAUAUAUUCUGUGCUAUCUAUUUCUACACAUAUAUAUUGGGUGCUAUGUAUUUCUACACGUAUAUAUUCUGUGCUAUCUAUUUCUACAGGUAUAUAUUAGGUGCUAUGUAUUUCUACAGAUAUAUAUUCUGUGCUAUCUAUUUCUACACAUAUUCUGUGCUCUUUCUACAGGUAUAUACUAUGUGCUAUCUAUUUUUACAGGUAUAUAUUCUGUGGCAUCUACACUGAGUGUACAACACAUUGGGAACAUCUUCCUAACAUUCUUCCAUAUUCUUUAGAAACCACCACGCAUUGCGAGCGAACAGUGUUGAAUAUAUACCUACCACCAGUGCAAUUCAUUAAACUGACAAACUUAUAUGGAAUAUGAAUAUCUUGUUCAUUUAGUUAACAGACACAGUGGGCAAGUAGGUUUUUCAGACACAGUGAAAUAGUAGAUAUUACAGUACUAUCUUGUAGUAUCAUAGUUAGGGCCAGGAGUUUUUCCAGGGCUUCCUGUGAGCUAAGCAGGACAAACUCUAGGCCCUAUGGUCAGGAAAUACUCUUCAGGCAUUAAGAAGCAACACGGUCUAGAAUUUUUUGUUCAAGAAAAAACCCUGUCACUUGUCAUUUACGUAGUGUUAUUACCUUGAACAUAAAGGUCUCUGUCCCUCCCUCCCUCCAUUCCUCCCUCCAUUCCUCCCUCCCUCCAUUCAUCCCUCCUUUCCUCCCUCCAUUCCUCCCUCCCUCCAUUCCUCCCUCUAUUCCUCCCUCCCUCCUUUCCUCCCUCCAUUCCUCCCUCCAUUCCUCCCUCCAUUCUUCCCUCCCUCCAUUCCUCCC
ensembl:lncRNA